AGCAGUAGCCGCGGGAAUACGUAGGUGGCAAGCGUUGUCCGGAAUUAUUGGGCGUAAAGGGCUCGCGGGCGGUUUCUUAAGUCUGAUGUGAAAGCCCCCGGCUCAACCGGGGAGGGUCAUUGGAAACUGGGAAACUUGAGUGCAGAAGAGGAGAGUGGAAUUCCACGUGUAGCGGUGAAAUGCGUAGAGAUGUGGAGGAACACCAGUGGCGAAGGCGACUCUCUGGUCUGUAACUGACGCUGAGGAGCGAAAGCGUGGGGAGCGAACAGGAUUAGAUACCCCGGUAUCCCUGUCUCUUAUACC
rnacentral:rRNA from 1 species